rnacentral:rRNA from 1 species
AGCAGCCGCGGUAAUUCCAGCUCCAAUAGCGUAUAUUAAAGUUGUUGCAGUUAAAAAGCUCGUAGUUGAAUUUCGGGGUCGGUAGGUUGGUCAUGCCUCUGGUAUGCACUGGUCUCACUGAUUCCUCCUUCCUGAUGAGCCGUAAUGCCAUUAAUUUGGUGUUGCGAGGAAUCUGGACUGUUACUUUGAAAAAAUUAGAGUGUUUAAAGCAAGCUGACGCUUGAAUACAUUAGCAUGGAAUAAUGGAAUAGGGCGUUCGAUCCUAUUUUGUUGGUUUCUAGGAUUGACGUAAUGAUUAAUAGGGAUAGUUGGGGGCAUUAGUAUUCAAUUGUCAGAGGUGAAAUUCUUGGAUUUAUUGAAGACUAACUACUGCGAAAGCAUUUGCCAAGGAUGUUUUCUAUUAAUCAAGAACGAAAGUUAAGGGGAUCGAAGACGAUCAGAUACCGUCGUAGUCUUAACCAUAAACUAUGCCGACUAGGGAUCGGAUGAUGUUAAUUUUUAAUUGUACUCAUUC